rnacentral:lncRNA from 1 species
AUGUCCGGGCUCGCCGGGAGGGGGCGCACUUCCCCGCGACCGUGCAGCGCCCGGCGUGCUGUGCGGCGCUGUGGCCGGCAGGGGGCGUGCGGGCCGCGUCUCCUCCUCGUGGCCGGGAGACUCCGCCGCGGCCUGAGGAAAAGUGACAUUCAGAGGCCUGGAUGGUUAGGACAUCAACAUAGGAAUUUGCUGUUGGGCACAACUCAGCCAGUAAUGUUCCAUGAAAGAAACCAUCUAAAAGGAAAAAAAGACCAAAAGAAGACUUCUAAGAGGGGAAGAGAUCUACCUUCUGACAUUAGCUACAAGUUUGUAAGUUCUCUUUCUCUUUCAUGCAAGGCUCCACCCCAAGUCACACUGUUAUACACCCUGGUGGGAAGUGGGCUAAAAGAGGGAGCUACUCACCAGCCUGUGACUUGAGUAUGACUCUGUUACAGGUGAGGAUGCUCCCUGACCCAUUUAUUUCUUAGAAAGCAAGAAUGUGAGCAUCAUUCAUCAAGCAAAUAUAGAUUAGAUGCCUGCUACAUACCCAGCCCUUCUCCAUAAAAAAUGCUUGCCCUAAUGGAACUUGCCUUCUGGUGGCAGAAGGCAGAAAUAAACAAUAAACAUAAUAACCA